rnacentral:rRNA from 1 species
CUUGGUAAUAAUAGAGAAGAGGGUACACCUGUUCCCAUCCCGAACACAGAAGUUAAGCUCUUCAUCGCCGACAAUAGUGUAUGCGAAGAUAGGACAUUGCCAAGA